CGCUGGCGGCAUGCUUUACACAUGCAAGUCGAACGGCAGCGCGGACUUCGGUCUGGCGGCGAGUGGCGAACGGGUGAGUAAUAUAUCGGAACGUACCCAAGAGAGGGGGAUAACGUAGCGAAAGUUACGCUAAUACCGCAUACGAUCUAUGGAUGAAAGUGGGGGAUCGCAAGACCUCAUGCUCCUGGAGCGGCCGAUAUCUGAUUAGCUAGUUGGUGAGGUAAAGGCUCACCAAGGCGACGAUCAGUAGCUGGUCUGAGAGGACGACCAGCCACACUGGAACUGAGACACGGUCCAGACUCCUACGGGAGGCAGCAGUGGGGAAUUUUGGACAAUGGGCGCAAGCCUGAUCCAGCAAUGCCGCGUGAGUGAAGAAGGCCUUCGGGUUGUAAAGCUCUUUUGUCAGGGAAGAAACGGUAGGAGCUAAUAUCUCUUGCUAAUGACGGUACCUGAAGAAUAAGCACCGGCU
rnacentral:rRNA from 1 species